CAGACUGGGAUGCUGGGAAGGAUUCUUCAUUAGCCUGGCGCUCUGAAGUUGUGAAGCCCUCCGAGCAUUCUGCAGGCGUGUCUGCAGGGACGCCUUCACCAACUCCUACCUCAGAUGCUGCACAAAAGGCCAGCUCCCAUGGCAGGGGUCCUCCGACAGGAGAGACCAAAGACAUGGCAGGCAAGAAAUUCCAGGACCCAUUAGAAGUCAUGUGGCAAAUGCUGAAGGAACGUCUGCAGAGAAGACAAG